ACCAUGCAAAGAGCCUGGACUGUUCCUGUCACUUACCCACUCUAGGCCACUAAAACGAAGGUGAUAACACCUGCCUGGCUGGUUCUGAGAAAGAGAGAAGAUGGAUAAUGUGUGUGAAGGACCUGCCACAAUCCCAGGUAAAAAGAAGCAAGAAUGAAGAAUUAAGCAGUUAAACAAUGACUAGCUCUCCACCGCCAACAGCUCUAUUAGCAAUCCUGCAGGCACAUCCCUCGAGCAAGAUCACACCUGAAGGGUCGACCAGUCUGCAUACAAUGGAGAAGGAUGCCGACCCCAAUCUCCAGCCUCAAAGAUUCUCUGAGGUUCUCCCCCGCCAUCAUUUUUCCCUUUAAAAAUUGUCACGACUGAGCAGAAUCUUCUGAGUUGGUCUCUGGACACAAGUCUAUUGUCUCCUCAGAUUGCCCGCUUUUCAGAGGAAAACACCUCUCCUUUCUACUGACCUCACCUCUUGAAUCACUGCCUUCUGAGGGGUGAGCAGCCGAACCCAGAUUAAAACAAGUAAGAAUGAAGACUGAAGUAGUUAAAGAAUAACCAGCUCCUCUACCCUCAACAGCUCCCUUAGCAAUCCCGCAGGCUGGCAGGCUGAUCACCUGGGCAAGAUCCCGUUGGAAGACAGACGGAGCCAGCCAGUCUGCACGCAAUGGAGGAUGAUGCAGAAUCCAACCUCCUGCCUCACUGAUUCACUGAGAUUCUUUCCUUUUUUCCCUUCAAAAGGUGUCAGGGCUGAACAGAAUCUCUAUAGCUGGUCUCAGGACGUAAGUCCAUCUUCUCCCCAGAUUGCUGACUUUUCUUCUAAGUCAAGUAUCUUUCCUUUCUCCCUAUAUUUGCCUCUUGAUUAUUGGCUUUGGAGUGUGGUAAUAUAAUCAGGUUUAGAUUGGGUUAUGAAAGUAGGACCUUCCUGAUAGGAUCAGUGCCCUUAGAGGAAGAGGGAGAGGGAUCUCUCUCCAGUCACAAGCAAGGCCAGUGAGCACACAGAGGUAGGGUGGACACCUGCAAUCUGGAAGCCAAUCUGCUGGCACUAUCUUCCAGCAUCCAGAACUGUGAGAAAUAAGGUCUGCUGUUGAAGCCCCCUGUGUGUAGUAUUUUAUUAUAGCAGCCUGAACUGACUGAGAUACUUGGUAACACAUGAAUGCUAGCUACUUUGAUCAUUUAUGAAAUUUGGAGAUUAACAGCUGUUUUAUCUUAUUCAGUUGACCCUGAAAUAUAUUUUCUUUAUAUUAAAAUAUAUUUUCUUUAUAUUAAAACAAUUUAUAUUAA
rnacentral:lncRNA from 1 species